GGCGCUCAAUGCUCUUCGGAGACGACCGCC
rnacentral:misc_RNA from 1 species